UACGGGGGGGGCAAGCGUUGUUCGGAAUUACUGGGCGUAAAGGGCUCGUGGGCGGCCAACUAAGUCGGACGUGAAAUCCCCAGGCUCAACCUGGGAACUGCGUCCGAUACUGGAUGGCUUGAAUUCGGGAGAGGGAUGCAGAAUUCCAGGUGUAGCGGUGAAAUGCGUAGAUAUCUGGAGGAAUACCGGUGGCGAAGGCAGCCCCCUGGGUCAAGAUUGACGCUCAUGCACGAAAGCGUGGGGAGCAAACAGG
rnacentral:rRNA from 1 species